CCUACGGGUGGCAGCAGUGAGGAAUAUUGGUCAAUGGACGAGAGUCUGAACCAGCCAAGCAGCGUGAAGGAUGACUGCUCUAUGGGUUGUAAACUUCUUUUAUAUGGGAGUAAACUUUUCCACGUGUGGGAUAUUGUAUGUACCAUACGAAUAAGGAUCGGCUAACUCCGUGCCAGCAGCCGCGGUAAUACGGAGGAUCCGAGCGUUAUCCGGAUUUAUUGGGUUUAAAGGGAGCGUAGGUGGAUUGUUAAGUCAGAAGUGAAAGGUUGCGGCUCAACCGUAGAAUUGCAGUUGAAACUGGCGGUCUAGAGUGCAGAAGAGGUGGGCGGAAUUCGUGGUGUAGCGGUGAAAUGCUUAGAGAUCACGAAGAACACCGAUUGCGAAGGCAGCUCACUGGACUGCAACUGACGCUGAGGCUCGAAAGUGUGGGGAGCAAACAGGAUUAGAUACCCGAGUAGUC
rnacentral:rRNA from 1 species